AUUGAACGCUGGCGGCAUGCCUUACACAUGCAAGUCGAACGGCAGCACGGGGGCAACCCUGGUGGCGAGUGGCGAACGGGUGAGUAACAUAUCGGAACAUACCCUAGAGUGGGGGAUAACGUAGCGAAAGUUACGCUAAUACCGCAUACGAUCUAAGGAUGAAAGUGGGGGAUCUUCGGACCUCAUGCUCAUGGAGUGGCCGAUAUCUGAUUAGCUAGUUGGUGAGGUAAAGGCUCACCAAGGCGACGAUCAGUAGCUGGUUUGAGAGAACGACCAGCCACACUGGAACUGAGACACGGUCCAGACUCCUACGGGAGGCAGCAGUGGGGAAUUUUGGGACAAUGGGGGCAACCCUGAUCCAGCAAUGCCGCGUGAGUGAAGAAGGCCUCGGUUGUAAAGCGUCUUUUGUUCUAGGGAAGGAAACGGUAGAGGUUCUAAUACAGCUUGCUAA
rnacentral:rRNA from 1 species